rnacentral:rRNA from 1 species
AUCACUAAGCGGAGGAAAAGAAACUAACUAGGAUUGCCUCAGUAACGGCGAGUGAAGCGGCAAGAGCCCAAACUGGAAAUCUCUGCCUUCCCGGGCAGCGAAUUGUAAUCUUGAGUUCAUCUACUCAACUGUCGGUGGCGCAGAAGUGUUCUAGAAUGGACCGCCAGAGAGGGUGACAGCCCCGUAUGUGGUGCCACUGGCUACCGAGUCGGUGUUCGACGAGUCGGGUUGUUUUGUAUUGCAGCCCUAAGUGGGAGAUAAACUUCUUCUAAGGCUAAAUAUAUAUGGGAAACCGAUAGCGAACAAGUACUGUGAAGGAAAGAUGAAAAGAACUUUGAAAAGAGAGUCAAAAGACUUGAAAUCGUUGAGAAGGAAGCGGUAGAAAUUUAUUCUUCGACUUUGCGCUGUGCUCGUUGCCAAACCAUUGCAGGCGUGUAGUACUUCAUAGGCUGCUGUCUGCACUUGGGGAAGCGGCGGGUUUGCUCUUUGUCGUUAGGCAGAAUGAGGUCGUGUUCCCACAGAGGCUUCUCUUGCCUGGCUUCUUUCGAGGAGCAGCCUGAGUUUGCUGGUGGGCGCGCGGCCUGAGGGUGCUUUUGCGAUUUUGCCAAAAUGGUUUUUACCGACCCGUCUUGAAACACGGACCAAGGAGUCUAACCUAUAUGCGAGUGUGCUGGUGGAAAAACCAACACGCGUAAUGAAGGUAAUAGAUGCCAAGCGCAAGCAGCAGCAUCGACCGACCAUGAUUCUCUGAAGAAAGGUUUGAGUGUGAGCAUAUACGUUAGGACCCGAAAGAUGGUGAACUAUGCCUGAGUAGGGUGAAGUCAGGGGAAACUCUGAUGGAAGCUCGUAGCGGUACUGACGUGCAAAUCGUUCGUCAAACUUGGGUAUAGGGGCGAAAGACUAAUCGAACCAUCUAGUAGCUGGUUCCCUCCGAAGUUUCCCUCAGGAUAGCUGUGACAACUACGCAGUUUUAUUAGGUAAAGCGAAUGAUUAGUGGAAUCGGGGGUCUAGUGCCCUCGACCAAUUCUCAAACUUUAAAUUGGUAAGAACCUUGGCCUUUCUUAAGUGAGGCACAAGGGCUCAAUGCGUGUCUCUAGUGGGCCAUUUUUGGUAAGCAGAACUGGCGAUGAGGGAUGCUCCUAACGUCGGGUUAAGGUGCCCAACUACACGCUCAUCAGACACCACAAAGGGUGUUGGUUCAUCUAGACAGCAGGACGGUGGCCAUGGAAGUCGGAACCCGCUAAGGAGUGUGUAACAACUCACCUGCCGAAUGAACUAGCCCCGAAAAUGGAUGGCGCUUAAGCGUGUGACCGAUACCCGACCAUUGCAGCGAGAGUAAUGCCGCAAUGUGUAGGAGGGCGUGAGCGUUGUUGCGAAGCUUCUGGCGUGAGCCUAAGUUGAACAGCGUUUAGUGCGGAUCUUGGUGGUAGUAGCAAUUAUUCAAAUGAGAACUUUGAAGGCCGAAGUGGAGAAGGUUUCCGUGAGAACAGCAAUUGGUCACGGGUGACUCGAUCCUAAGACAUGGGGGAAAUCCUUGUCAAGUGCGCCAUCUGGCGCGUAGUCGAAAGGGAAUGAGGUUAAUAUUCCUCAAGCUGGAUGUGGGUGUUGGAUGGCAACAUAAAUGAGCUCAGAGACGCCAGCGCGAGCCUCUGGAAGAGUUAUCUUUUCUUUUUAACAGACUAGCGACCUUGAAAUUGGAUUAUCCAGAGCUAAGGUGGUAUGUCUGGAAGAGCACUUCGCUUUUCGAAGUGUCAGGUGCGCUCGCGAUGGUCCGUGAAAAUCUGAGUGAGAUAGCUUCACACCAGGUCGUACCCACAACCGC